ensembl:lncRNA
GCAAAUGAUCAAACAAUGAUCUUUAUCUCCUGAGUACAGCAUUAAUACAAUGGACUGUAAAGUUCAUUAUUAUUGUAUUGAAGAGCUCUUAAUGGAACUUUGUUUCUCUGCGAUUUUACAUUAAGUCCUUCACAGUAACAGGAGUGAGUAACAGUAACAGUAACAGGAGUGAGUAACAGUAAACAGAGUGAGUAACAGUAACAGUAACAGAAGUGAGUAACAGUAACAGUAACAGUAACAGGAGUGAGUACAGUAACAGGAGUGAGUAACAGUAACAGUAACAGUAACAGGAGUGAGUAACAGUAACAGUAACAGGAGUGAGUAACAGUAACAGGAGUGAGUAACAGUAACAGUAACAGGAGUGAGUAACAGUAACAGGAGUCAGUAACAGCAUCAGUAACAGGAGUGAGUAACAGUAACAGUAACAGGAGUGAGUAA